ACGCUGGCGGCAGGCCUAACACAUGCAAGUCGAGCGGUAGAGAGAAGCUUGCUUCUCUUGAGAGCGGCGGACGGGUGAGUAAUGCCUAGGAAUCUGCCUGGUAGUGGGGGAUAACGUUCGGAAACGGACGCUAAUACCGCAUACGUCCUACGGGAGAAAGCAGGGGACCUUCGGGCCUUGCGCUAUCAGAUGAGCCUAGGUCGGAUUAGCUAGUUGGUGAGGUAAUGGCUCACCAAGGCGACGAUCCGUAACUGGUCUGAGAGGAUGAUCAGUCACACUGGAACUGAGACACGGUCCGGACCCCUACGGGAGGCAGCAGUGGGGAAUAUUGGACAAUGGGCGAAAGCCUGAUCCAGCCAUGCCGCGUGUGUGAAGAAGGUCUUCGGAUUGUAAAGCACUUUAAGUUGGGAGGAAGGGCGUUAACCUAAUACGUUAGUGUUUUGACGUUACCGACAGAAUAAGCACCGGCUAACUCUGUGCCAGCAGCCGCGGUAAUACAGAGGGUGCAAGCGUUAAUCGGAAUUACUGGGCGUAAAGCGCGCGUAGGUGGUUUGUUAAGUUGGAUGUGAAAUCCCCGGGCUCAACCUGGGAACUGCAUUCAAAACUGACUGACUAGAGUAUGGUAGAGGGUGGUGGAAUUUCCUGUGUAGCGGUGAAAUGCGUAGAUAUAGGAAGGAACACCAGUGGCGAAGGCGACCACCUGGACUAAUACUGACACUGAGGUGCGAAAGCGUGGGAGCAAAC
rnacentral:rRNA from 1 species